rnacentral:rRNA from 1 species
UACGGAGGAGGCAAGCGUUAUCCGGAUUCACUGGGUUUAAAGGGCGAGUAGGCGGCCUUCUAAGUCAGACGUGAAAUCCCCCGGCUUAACCUGGGAACUGCGUCUGAUACUGGGAGGCUUGAGUAUGGGAGAGGGAUGUAGAAUUCCAGGUGUAGCGGUGAAAUGCGUAGAUAUCUGGAGGAAUACCGGUGGCGAAGGCGGCAUCCUGGACCGACACUGACGCUGAGGCGCGAAAGCCAGGGGAGCAAACGGG